rnacentral:rRNA from 1 species
UACGUAGGGUCCGAGCGUUGUUCGGAAUUACUGGGCGUAAAGGGCUCGUAGGCGGCCAACUAAGUCGGAUGUGAAAUCCCCAGGCUUAACCUGGGAACUGCAUCCGAUACUGGAUGGCUUGAAUCCGGGAGAGGGAUGCAGAAUUCCAGGUGUAGCGGUGAAAUGCGUAGAUAUCUGGAGGAAUACCGGUGGCGAAGGCGGCAUCCUGGACCGGCAUUG